GUGCGCAGCGCCCGUGGCCGGGGCGCUCGCGAGGCCUGGCGUCCGCGGCGGCCGCUUUUCCACAGAGCAGCGUGCUGCGGCGCGGAGUCCCGACCCAGAGCCGUGAGCGGCCUGCAUCUCGUUUACCCAUCUCUUUCUUCUGUCCGAAGCCUGUCGCAACAGCAGCCCUGACGUCGCCGUGGCGCGGUGAGUGAGAGAGCAAGAGAGAAUGAAUCUUCCAUCUACUCCUGAAUGUCUACAACAACCAGAGUUGGGCCAGGCCAAACCCACAAGCUGGGAACUCCAUCCCGGUCUUUCACGAAGCUGCCUAGCUUCUCCUAGACUGGUCCUUGGUCCAGCAGCCUGGGCAGCACCAGUAUGACCUGCAUUCCAAGACCCAUCCAUAACUGUUGAAUCUGAAUUUUCACCUUUGCAAAGUCCACAGCACCAGACAAAUGCAGAACAAGAUAACGAGAGUUCCAGGCAAAGGAGCCAGCUCUCUGCUAUGGCCUGGGAAAGCAGUAGAAGAUGGCCCAAGUCCUUGGGCCCCUGCACCCAUGUGGGAGACCUGGAAGAAGCUCCUGGUACUGGCUUCGGAUCAGCACAGCUCUGGCCAUUGCGGCCAAUUGGGGAGUGAACCAUUGGAUGGAAGACCUCUCUGCCUCUCUGCCUCUCUUCUCUCUGUGUAACUCUGACUUUCAAAUAAAUAC